CCUACGGGAGGCAGCAGUGAGGAAUAUUGGUCAAUGGACGAGAGUCUGAACCAGCCAAGUAGCGUGAAGGAUGACUGCCCUACGGGUUGUAAACUUCUUUUAUAUGGGAAUAAAAUGUUCCACGUGUGGGAUUUUGUAUGUACCAUAUGAAUAAGGAUCGGCUAACUCCGUGCCAGCAGCCGCGGUAAUACGGAGGAUCCGAGCGUUAUCCGGAUUUAUUGGGUUUAAAGGGAGCGUAGGUGGAUUGUUAAGUCAGUUGUGAAAGUUUGCGGCUCAACCGUAAAAUUGCAGUCGAAACUGGCAGUCUUGAGUACAGUAGAGGUGGGCGGAAUUCGUGGUGUAGCGGUGAAAUGCUUAGAUAUCACGAAGAACUCCGAUUGCGAAGGCAGUUCACUGGACUGCAACUGACACUGAGGCUCGAAAGUGUGGGUAUCAAACAGGAUUAGAUACCCGGGUAGUC
rnacentral:rRNA from 1 species